UACAGAGGGUGCAAGCGUUUAAUCGGAAUUACUGGGCGUAAAGCGUGCGUAGACGGUAGCGUAAGUCGGGUGUGAAAGCCCCGGGCUCAACCUGGGAAUUGCAUUCGAGACUGCUCUGCUAGGGUGCGGAAGAGGGAAGCGGAAUUUCCGGUGUAGCGGUGAAAUGCGUAGAUAUCGGAAGGAACACCAGUGGCGAAAGCGGCUUCCUGGUCCAGCACCGACGUCAGGCACGAAAGCGUGGGGAGCAAACAGGAUUGAGAUACCCCGGGUAAGUCC
rnacentral:rRNA from 1 species